UACGGAGGGGUGCAACGUUGCUCGGAAUCACUGGGCGUAAAGGGUGCGUAGGCGGGUCUUUAAGUCAGGGGUGAAAUCCUGGAGCUCAACUCCAGAACUGCCUUUGAUACUGAGGAUCUUGAGUUCGGGAGAGGUGAGUGGAACUGCGAGUGUAGAGGUGAAAUUCGUAGAUAUUCGCAAGAACACCAGUGGCGAAGGCGGCUCACUGGCCCGAUACUGACGCUGAGGCACGAAAGCGUGGGGAGCAAACAGG
rnacentral:rRNA from 1 species